rnacentral:rRNA from 1 species
AACGAACGCUGGCGGCAUGCCUAACACAUGCAAGUCGAACGAGACCUUCGGGUCUAGUGGCGCACGGGUGCGUAACGCGUGGGAACCUGCCCUUAGGUUCGGAAUAACUCCCCGAAAGGGGUGCUAAUACCGGAUAAUGUCUUCGGACCAAAGAUUUAUCGCCUUUGGAUGGGCCCGCGUUGGAUUAGCUAGUUGGUAGGGUAAAAGCCUACCAAGGCGACGAUCCAUAGCUGGUCUGAGAGGAUGAUCAGCCACACUGGGACUGAGACACGGCCCAGACUCCUACGGGAAGCAGCAGUGGGGAAUAUUGGACAAUGGGCGAAAGCCUGAUCCAGCAAUGCCGCGUGAGUGAUGAAGGCCUUAGGGUUGUAAAGCUCUUUUACCCGGGAUGAUAAUGACAUUACCGGGAGAAUAAGCUCCGGCUAACUCCGUG